rnacentral:rRNA from 1 species
GAUGAACGCUGGCGGCGUGCCUAAUACAUGCAAGUCGAGCGAACAGACGAGGAGCUUGCUCCUCUGACGUUAGCGGCGGACGGGUGAGUAACACGUGGAUAACCUACCUAUAAGACUGGGAUAACUUCGGGAAACCGGAGCUAAUACCGGAUAAUAUAUUGAACCGCAUGGUUCAAUAGUGAAAGACGGUUUUGCUGUCACUUAUAGAUGGAUCCGCGCCGCAUUAGCUAGUUGGUAAGGUAACGGCUUACCAAGGCAACGAUGCGUAGCCGACCUGAGAGGGUGAUCGGCCACACUGGAACUGAGACACGGUCCAGACUCCUACGGGAGGCAGCAGUAGGGAAUCUUCCGCAAUGGGCGAAAGCCUGACGGAGCAACGCCGCGUGAAUGAUGAAGGUCUUCGGAUCGUAAAACUCUGUUAUUAGGGAAGAACAAAUGUGUAAGUAACUAUGCACGUCUUGACGGUACCUAAUCAGAAAGCCACGGCUAACUACGUG